UACGGAGGGUGCAAGCGUUGUCCGGAUUUAUUGGGCUUAAAGGGUGCGUAGGCGGGCCUUUAAGUCAGUGGUGAAAGCCGACAGCUUAACUGUCGAAAUGCCAUUGAUACUGGGGGUCUUGAGUACAGUAGAGGUAGGCGGAAUUAAUGGUGUAGCGGUGAAAUGCAUAGAUACCAUUAAGAACACCGAUUGCGAAGGCAGCUUACUAUAGUGUAACUGACGCUGAGGCACGAAAGUGUGGGGAUCAAACAGG
rnacentral:rRNA from 1 species